rnacentral:rRNA from 1 species
AGGUAAAGGACGUCACCUAGGCGACGAUCCGUAGCUGGUCUGAGAGGACGACCAGCCACACUGGAACUGAGACACGGUCCAGACUCCUACGGGAGGCAGCAGUGGGGAAUUUUGGACAAUGGGCGCAAGCCUGAUCCAGCCAUGCCGCGUGAGUGAAGAAGGCCUUCGGGUUGUAAAGCUCUUUCAGCCGGAAAGAAAACGCACGGGUUAAUAACCUGUGUGGAUGACGGUACCGGAAGAAGAAGCACCGGCUAACUACGUGCCAGCAGCCGCGGUAAUACGUAGGGUGCGAGCGUUAAUCGGAAUUACUGGGCGUAAAGCGUGCGCAGGCGGUUUUGUAAGACAGAUGUGAAAUCCCCGGGCUUAACCUGGGAACUGCAUUUGUAACUGCAAGGCUAGAGUACGGCAGAGGGGGGUAGAAUUCCACGUGUAGCAGUGAAAUGCGUAGAUAUGUGGAGGAAUACCGAUGGCGAAGGCAGCCCCCUGGGUCGAUACUGACGCUCAUGCACGAAAGCGUGGGGG